UUUGGAUGGGAAAAUCCCGGUUUUGGUGUGAAAAUCCAGUUUGUGAUGUGAAAAUCCAGUUCUGGUGUGAAAAUCCAAUUUGUGAUGUGAAAAUCCAAUUUGUGAUGGGAAAAUCCAGUUUGUGAUGGGAAAAUCCAUGUUCUGGUGUGAAAAUCCAGUUUGGAUGGGAAAAUCCAGUUCUGAUUGGAAAAUCCAAUUUGUGAUGGGAAAAUCCUGGUUCGGAUGGGAAAAUCCAGGUUUGGAUGAGAAAAUCCAGGUUCGGAUGAGAAAAUCCAGUUCUGAUUGGAAAAUCCAAUUUGUGAUGGGAAAAUCCAGUUUGUGAUGGGAAAAUCCAUGUUCUGGUGUGAAAAUCGAGUUUGGAUGGGAAAAUCCAGUUUUUUGCCAUCCUGCUAAAAUAAAUGAAAAUAAAGGGGUGGACUUA